ACAGCAGAUGGCUCAGAAUAUUCUCACAGGAGAGUGUGAAGUAACUGGAGAGAUUGGAUAAUUGCAUUCAAGCUGUUGGCCCUGAAGUCCAGAGCUGUUACAGGCUGCAAAGGAGUGCAAAGAAAAGAGCUGACCACGUGGAUGUGCAGCAGUAAGGAGUGAAGGGGAUGAUUUUCACCAACAGUAAUGUUUUAAGCUGAUGUGAUAAACUCUUGGUCUAAUGGAAAACCAGUUAAAAAGCAGACCUGGGAGCAUCAAUACCAACUUGCCAUCCAACACUGCUCUCCUUGAGUAGGACAUUUACUGACUGUGUGUCCAAGGGGAUCCCAUCAGCAGCCCAAGAGGGAAAUGCUGUUCAGAAAAAUCACAGGAUGAUGCCUUGUACCCUUCACUUGUUCUGAGGACACCCAUGAUGUCCAUCAGUUUUCUCAGAUAUUUUCAGGUGGAGAGGGAUACAUUGGCACAAGCUGUGUAUGGAACAGUUCU